rnacentral:lncRNA from 1 species
UGGUACAUUGGAGGAAAACUAGACAAUUUAUUCAAUAAUGGUUUCUAUUAUUUUCCAUUUUGAUUUUUUUUUGUUCCAAUUCAGUUAGAAAUAAUUUUAGAUGUUAAAAAUGUUGAAAAAAUUGGGUAGAUAAAAAGUUAUAGUCCGGGUUCAGAUACAAUAAAUCAAUACAUUUGUUCUUAAACAUAAUGUUAAGAUAUUAUAUAUAUAUAUAAAAAAAAGGACUGUUUUUAAACUAAACUAGACAUUAUUUAUAGGAAACCCUAUUUCUACAUGGUCAGAAGUAUGUAAACUAGGACGGGCAUUUCCAAAUCUGGAAUCUUUGGUACUUGCUGAAUGUCCUCUGCAGUCACUUAUGACUCCACCACCUUCACCAGACUCUCAUUUAGGCCUUUUAUCUUACCCAAGGAAAGAUAAUGAAUUUUGUGGUGAGUUUACCUAAUUAGUAUAAAAAAAUAAUCAAUUAUUAAUUAUUAUAUCAUAAAAUAUUGCACUUCUAAGAUAUGACGUUGGAUUCACCACAUGACGCUUUCAUACAUCUAAGAUUCCUUAACUUAAACAGAACCCUAAUUAGAACAUGGGCCGAUGUAGAUAUCCUGGGCCGAUUCCCUGCAUUAAGAUACCUUAGAAUACAGGGCUGUCCAUUAUUUGAAGUAAGUAGCGACUAUUAAAAAUUCUUAAAUUUCUAUUCUUAAAAUAUUUAUAUAGAUAUAUUCCAAAUUUAAUGGGAACUUUGAUGAUUGUUUUUAUUUUAGGAAAACUCUGAAAGACAAGAAUACACAGAACAUGAACGUAGGCAGUUGUUGAUUGCACGAUUGCCCCAUAUACAAACUUUAAACGGAGGUGCAGAAAUUACAGCUGAUGAAAGAGAAGAUGCCGAACGGUUUUUAAUCCGAUACUAUAUGGAUAAGCCAGAAAAUGAACACCCAGAUAGGUAAAAAAACAUUACUGAUUUAAUUGAUGUCCACCAAAAAAGUAUUCUCCCACCAUUCAGGUUUAGUUAUGAUAUUUCAGUGAUGAUGACAGAAUAUCUCAGGUAGGUAUUCCAUAAUAUUAUAUACGGUACCCGAUGUUAUACCUAUCUUAUAUCAUUAAUUUUACUGUAUAGAUUUUACCAAAUAUUGUUCUUAAAAUAUCAAAUAAGUGAAUUUCACACAUAUAUACUUUUUUUUUUUAUUAGCAGUAUAAUAUUUUAGUUUUAAAUGUAUAAUCUAUAAAUAUAGUAUAUAAAUUGUAUAACAAAUGAUUAGAACAUCAAAAAAAUAUUAGAUAUAUGUGGAUUUCAACUAAACCUGAGUGACUGAGAAUACUUUCUUGGCUGGUGUCAACACGUCAACUAGACCAGUACCAAAAAGACCUUACUCAUUAAUUAUUUAACAUUAUUUUAAAAAAAUAUAUCAUGCAUAUACAUUAUACAUACAUUUUACAACUUUAAUAUUAUUAAAUCACUUUGUAUAUUGUAUAGAAAGUUAUAUAAAUUUGUAUAAUAUUUUAAUUCUAUUCAAAUUUAUUUCAUAAUAGUUUCUAUUUAUCUACCUAUAAGUGAUUGAAUCAUUAAUCUUUAGGUAGCUAAUACAAUUUAAUUUUCAAAAAUUAUAUUUUUUGAACUAAUUAAAUUAAAUAAUCUUAAAAAUUUAUACCUAGUUUUAUUCUUCAAAGAUUUUUAAUCCAUAAUUAUUAGUUAUUACUUAAAUAGGUAUGUCAUAAUUUAUAUUUCAAAAGUUAUAAAAUCACUUUAAACAUGUUUUAGAUAUAGUGAAUUAAUUCAAGUACAUGGGAAACUUGAUCCUUUGGUUAACAUAGACUUGACACCUGAAAUUAAAGUUUUGGUCACUAUUAUAUGCGGUGAAAAGUGUGAACAAUAUACAUUAGAUGUGUAUCAGACUGUAGCAGACCUCAAACAAAAAUUUGAAAAAUUUUCUGGUAUACCAGCACACCGUAUGCGAAUAUUUUAUGUGGAUCAACAAGUAUGUUCAGUAAUUGGUCCUGAAGAAAUGAAGUUUCCCAACAAGAGAUUAUACAGUUACAAUAUAGUCAAAGGAGAUCAAAUAAUUGUUGAUUCAAAAAAGUAAAAUCUUACUGAAUUCUGUAAAUAAACUUUCAGUGAAUUGUGAUAUAAACAUAAUAUAAUUAAGUAUAUAAAAUUUAAUUUCAGUUUUAUAGUUUAAAAUAACAUUAGUUUUAUUGUAUACUUGUCAGUAGAAUAGAGUAUAGGUUCCUCCAACAGUGAUUCAAUUUCUUAAAGAUAUAAGCUUAUUAUUAUUAGUUCAGUUACCUAUACUUAUUCUGCUUGAGUACACAAUUCAAUCAAAUUUUUUUAAAUAUAAUGUUAAAACAUUUGAAAUGUAAUACUGUUGUAUACUUUUUUAAUAUUUAAGUUUUAGUACUAUAAUUGGUCUAUGAGUAUGUUUGUAAUUCUAAUAUUAGUUGUAAUUUAUGUAGAAUAAAAACUUACUUCUUUAAAUAUAAUUAACAAUUAAAGUAAAAUAUUGAAUUUUAAUGUUGAAUUAAAUCUAUUUUUAUUGAUCCACUAAGACUUAUUAAAAGUAUAUUAUACUUAUUAAAGAAUAUCAAUUACUAAAAUUAAUGAUUCAUUAUUUACAUU